rnacentral:rRNA from 1 species
UACGUAGGGGGCAAGCGUUGUCCGGAAUUACUGGGCGUAAAGCGCCUGUAGGCGGGAACGUGCGUCGGACGUGAAAGGCGGGGGCUUAACCCCCGAGCGGCGUUCGAAACGGCGUUUCUUGAGGGUCGAAGAGGAGCGUGGAAUUCCUGGUGUAGCGGUGAAAUGCGUAGAUAUCUGGGGGGAAGGCCGGCGGCGAAGGCGCUUUUCUGGUUAGUACCUGACACUGAGGCACGAAAAGCGUGGGGGAGCAAACAGG